UACGAAGGGAGCUAGCGUUGUUCGGAAUCACUGGGCGUAAAGCGCACGUAGGCGGAUGUGUCAGUCAGGGGUGAAAUCCCGGAGUUCAACUUCGGAACUGCCCUUGAUACAGCACGUCUUGAGUCCGGAAGAGGUGGGUGGAAUUCCUAGUGUAGAGGUGAAAUUCGUAGAUAUUAGGAAGAACACCGGUGGCGAAGGCGGCCCACUGGUCCGGUACUGACGCUGAGGUGCGAAAGCGUGGGGAGCAAACAGG
rnacentral:rRNA from 1 species